GACACACGGAAGGAACACGGAAGGACAAAGGACGUUUCCAUGAGACCCAGUGACAGGAAGUGCGGCCUCCCCGUGGGAUGGAGAACUUACGGACUCUUUGGUAGCCUCAGGCCGGGGGGUGGGCGGUGGUUAGGGCUCGGCCUGUGGUGUCAGAUAGACUCGGACCAAACCCUGGCUUAGAGCUUAGUAGAUGUGCCAUUUUCGGGCAAGGGAUUUCCAGCCUCAACUUUCUGUUUUCUCAUUUUUAAAAUGGGGAAAAUCAUAGUAGCUCCUUCACUGGGUUGAUAGAAAGAGGAAAUGACUUUCAUACCUAAGUGCUUAAAAUCUGGGCCGUCUGACUCCGACCUUCAGCUGCAAACACCCAAACUACAGCUAGGGUCGUUAUUAGUGUUGUUGUGACUGUAGUUCUCACGAUGUCGUGUGAGACAGAGGGAUUAGGGAACCUCCAAACGUGAGAGACAGUCUGAGGUCGUUACGGAAACCUAGGCAUAAAGGAUCCGGAUCUAUAUUAAGGUAGCGGCUUUAGAGGCAGACGUAGAAGGGAAUAGACCACAUCUAAAAGAUGCCGCGUCCUGCAAAUCCAGAAGGGAGUGUGGUGUGAAGUGCGGGUGCGGACUGACACACGAGAGAACAGGACUGCGACCCCCAGUGCUCCGAACUUGGGUGACGCCACGGAACGUAACGCUCAAGUUUCCUUUUAUGACGGGAAAAUGAUCAGCUCAGUUUUUGAAAUGUUAGACUUUGUAUGUCAAAGGGAAAUCUCAGUGAAGAUCACCCCUAGACAAUCAACGUAUAGUCAGUGAGAAGUUGAAGACGGAAGUAGAAAUUUGUUUUUGCGCCACAUUGCUGUUGUGUCACUGGAGGAAGCAGGUAGGGUUGGAAUAUUGUCCCCCUCAUCUUAUUACUGACCUGUUUCUGGGGUCCGGGUGACUCGUCACCCUUAGGUGUCUUUGUUUAGAAUAUUUUUAUAUUUUCUGGUUCUGCUUCCAUGUAUUUCCUUAUUUUAAAACUACUUCGGCCUUGUCUGCUUUACUAAAAUAUUACAAAGGUUGGUGAUCUCAUGGCGCAGUGGCCCAGUGAUUGUCUCCAUAGUUUCCGCCCAUUUGAUCAGCAUUAAUGCCUUCAUUACUGUGUAUUAAUAGUUCAUCGAAAUGUUUCUGAGAUUGAGUGUGAUGAUUAUUACCACAUAAUUGUUUCAGCGGCGUUCAGACGGCUGCCGAUGGGAUGUGAGCACGAACACCAGGCCCUUCCCUUUUCCCUGACACUGACCUUUUGCUCAGGUCAGAGUACAGUGUUUUAUAAUUAGCCUUCGAAGCCGAACACCCAGCAGUUGGUAGGAAGCAGCCAUAUCCAUGUAAGAGCCCGAAUAACUUUCAGUGUCGUUAUAGUAACUUGUAAAAAAGGAAGUUAUAUUUUCUUGAGGUAAAUGGGGUAUUUCAGGGUUUCUCAACUUCAGCAUUAUUGAUAUUUAGGGGCUAGAUAAAUCUUUGCUGUGGGGGCUGUUGUGCGAUUUGUGGGAUGUUUAACAGCAUCCCUGACCUCUGCCCACUAAACGAUGGUCGCAGCUCCAUCCCCCAAAAUGUGACCAAAAAAACUCCAGAUGAUGCCAGAUGUCCCCACUGAAAACCAGGUACUUAAAUUCUUCCAUUUAGUGAUUCACAGUGCUAAUUUUGAAUGUGUUUUAAAUCUUUAAUACCAUAUGAAAUAACACCUGCUACAUAUGUGUUUUAUCACCAGGGGUUCAGGAGAUCGUUGCUUCUCAGCAGGUGAUGUGCCCGGUUUGGACUCGUAUGCUUCUGCAACGCAAGCCUUACCGUUUCCAUGUGCAGAACGAUACAGAGAGGAAAGGACAGCAGAGACUUGUUCUCUUGUGUUCCCUCUGUGUCUUGCUGAAGGUUCUUAAGCAAAUAUUUAAAAUCUAUUCAACAUUCACUCAUCUGAGACUCAUUAAGGAACUCCUGCGUGCCUGUACUACUGCUGGUUGCUGGCCGCUGACCGCGCGGAGGUGAAUGAGACGGUCUCUAACCUCUGAGAGCUCUCGGUCAAGCAGAGAAGCCAGAUAAGAAAACAGUUACACCAUAACGUGGUAAAUAUGGCAGCUGAGGAUUAUAAAACAGAAAGGGUAAUUCUUCUUGAGGAAAUCAAGGAAGGCUUUUCAGUGUAAGUCAAACUAGAACAGACUCUUAAGAUGAGUAGGAAUUUGCCAGACGAGUAGGAAUUUGCCAGACGCAGGAGGAGAACAAGAACUUGGGGCACAGGGAACAGCCUCUGCAGAAGCUCAGAGCCUGGGCUUUCAGGAAACAAGCAGACACUCCCCUGUGCAAGUCUGUGGCUUUGACCAGAUGACAUGGAUAUGCCUGGAUGAGGACCUGCUUGGUAUCCGUGACCAUUCUGGCUUCAGAGCACUGGAUUAGGGGCCAAGGCAAUCUGUCGAACCCCUGUGCUUGGGGAGAGAAGUGUCGGAUUCACCUGUGCUGUGUGAACCAUGGACGUCCCUGGAGGUCUGCCAGGGUCUACCAGGAGCUUGAAAAUCACAAGACAGUACCUCAGCCCCGAUCAUCAGACUGUGUGCACAUCCUGCCUGAUAUCAAGCGUGGCCUGAAGGAGCACAUUCAGGUUGCGUCCCCCAGAUCGGGGAAAGAGCGAUACCUGCUUGACAGUGUUCCUACAAACAUUGUCUUGUGCUCAGAGAGAGGAUACGUGUACAUUUCCUCCGGGAUGGCAAGAGUGUGCUCACCGUGCCUGACGAGCCUCCAGAACCCAGAAGGCAGAGAGGCUGAACCAUGAUGACUUUGGCCAUUGAUAGCAGGACAAUACCGGAACCCAGUAAUGCAUCAUCGUAUCAGGCACCUUGAAGACUUGGAAAGGGGCUUUCCUUCCCUGGGGUGCCUACUCCAGAGGGAGACCUAUGUGUCAUGUUGAAAGUUUGCUUUCCAGACGUACUUUCACCACAGACAUGGCAGAUUCUGAGGUGAAUUUACCCUAAUCUUAGGUUGUACUCUGAGCCAGCCCAGGAUCCCACACAGCAAUAGAAUAUUCCCUACCAUACAAAUGCCCACCUAGUGUGUACAUAGCUCUGGGCUCAGUGAUACUGGAGACGAUGUCUAAAAUGCAAAAAGCCACCGUUUUCAGGAAAAAUGUUCUGUCCCUCACCUACUUCAGAGCCGGGCUCUCUUGGUGUGUGGAUGGGGAAGUAGAGAUGAGGUCGGGAGAGCCCAGGCCAGGACUGAGCUUUCUGCGUCAAGCUUGGAAUCCGUUUCGCACCUCGGCGGUGGAAAGUGACCUGCGUGUUGCGUGGCAGUACAUCCACAUUGCUUUUCCAGGUCUUCUUUUGCUUCCCAGCCUGUUCUCCCUCUUUGUCUUCUUCCUGACAAGAAAGAGGAAGGGGACAAUAGAUUCGGCUUCACUACUCUCAUCCUGCUUUGCGUACACGGAAUCCUGCGGUCGGGGACCAGCACUGCUGUACGGACACACCCAUGCCCCUGCACACCUCUCACACCUCGCCUCACCUUCUGUGGGGCGGGAGAGGAAGGGAAAUUCUUUGACCUAUGAAGAAAAGGCCAUUGGGACAUAGUCACCUUUCCUUUGAUCCAGGAGGACGAACAAGACCCAGCAGCUUGUCUGCUGCCUCCGCCUCUGUCUGCAGCCCUCCAGGCUGCAGGGUGAGCAAAGCCAAAGCAAACUUCCUUCCCGCCUCUGGUCACCUCUGAGGAGCCACAGCACGCCUCCUUCCUUCCUCCAAGCCCAGACUUUGGAGAUUCCCUAGACAAUACUCCAAACAUAGCCCAACAGAAGGGAGCUCUUUGGGAUUAGAAUAGCAAAUAUGUUUGGAAAGAAUAACACCUUUGGCUGUGAGAAACAGAACAGAGACCGUCCUUUUCAGAGGACAUUCCUUUCAUGUGGACUGAUUCAUUUUCUCGAAUUGUACAGAAACAGUUCUUUACUUUUUUUUAAAAGCAGUUCUUUAAUAAAAAUUUUCCUUCUCAGAAAAGAUGGAAGACUCUCUUGCGGGCUUGAUGGACUGCAUCCUUCAAGACAAGCCUAGGACAGUGGAGAGGGUAGCCUGAGGAGCAUGGCCUCCUUCCCCCAUGCUGGCAGGUAAUGACCGGGGACACGGGGGCUGUGGGAUAGAGGCGAUCCAGGCAGAGUGGCUGAUGGAUGAUUCUGACAAUUUUGUGGUGGUGCCUGGAGAUACAAAACUCAAAUACAGGUAUCCUACUGGGUCAUGUUCUGGAUGAAAGAAAAUAGCUUCAUGGACAUUGUUUUGCAAGUUGAUGUUGUGAUAGGAUAAUAGAUAAAAUGCUGAGGCAAUGUGAAAUUGACUGUAGUUUAUGUAUGCCUUGUGUAUGUAAGAUGGUAUCUUUUUUUAAACAAAUAGAAACUGUAGUUUUUAUAGGUAAAGGGCUUUGGUAUAUGUGCUUGCCCUUUAAUGUUUGAAAAAAAAAAAUCCUUCUCUAUCUACCUGUCUGUACAUAGAGCGUAAGUGAGCACGGGAGUCCAAGGGACAAAUGGUUCAAAGAAGGCAGACCUGGUCAUGGGUGUCGUCAUGCAACUCUUCGUUGGGUUUUCUAUUAUUGCCAAGUUAAAACAACACGUUGACUCUGCCUUCCUCUCAUCAAGAGGCACACAUCAUCUUUUAAUUAUUUUAAUAUUUUAUUGUGAAAAAUUUUAAACAUGCACAUCAGAGAAAAAUGUAAUGAAUUCUUAUGGCCCACCUUCUACCUUAAAAUUAUCGGCAUUUGUGACCAUACCUGUAAACCUUUAAAAGAACAUAGAGACCCAGUCCAGUUGACUUCAUGUCCUCCAUCCCUUGGAGGCAGGGCUAAGCCUCGCCUGGACCAAGCUCUCUGACCCUCUUGGGCUCUCCCCGUCCUGCAUCACUUGAGGAAUAUACUUUCCGCAGCAGGUUGCCAUAAUGCUGUGGCCUUGGACUCAUCUUCCAAGGCUCUGGGCAUGGGUUUGCCUUGUUUUCUAGUCAGCUCCCAGGUCCCUCUUUAAUGAAUUUCCUCCACAUAACAUGCAGGGAAGUCAUCUGACGGAAAUAAUUGCACUGCAUGACAGUAUAAUCCCUUAGUUACCUGCUACCUGCGAGCAUACAAAAGAGAGAGAGAGAGAGAGCGCGCGCACAAGCAACUGGAAAUGUAAUUAAAACCUCAGCGCCCUAUCUAAAUACAGUCUAAUGUUGAUAAGAAAAUGGAUCAGUCCUGAAACACAUCUAAAACAAGAAUUUGGGAUUCCAGUUGAAUAGCAUUGAUGGAACACAUAUUUUAUUUUAUCUUUUUUCUUUUCUAACAUAGCACUAAAAAUAAACGAAUACUACGAAGCCGAUAAGAGUGGAAGACGGUAAAAGAUUUCACAAAUUUGGGGAGAUAGAAAUUAGAUUGGGGUUUGGUAACUAAUUUAAUAGGGUGAGAGAGUUAACCUGCUUCAGUGCCUGCCCGGAGGGAUUCAAGACGCAAAUCAUGUCAUUCUGCAAAUCUUAGUGGACUCAGGAUUUGCAGGCCCCCGAGAAGGAAAAAUGUGGGGUAAAGUGGGAAUUGGCGUGGAGGGAUUCAGAGAAAGUCUGUGAGAUCAGACCCCGCAGUUCGCCUUGAGCAGCCACCUCGCCUCCUUCAUCUCUACCGCCUCAUCAGCAGGCCUCUUCCCCCGGGCACGUGUGACCCGCGGAAGCAGGAUCUUCAGUGCCCUUAAAUCUAAUCGGAUUAGAGAACCAAUUCCAGAAAAUCCAGGACAGAUCCAGAGAACUCAACUCCUCUUGGACCGUCUCAGGUACUAAGUUCCGUAUCACUCAGCUUCGGGCCAGAGAAGCGCAAUAUGUAUAUUUGUGUAUCUCGGUGUGCACACAGACAGACUUCUAGGGAAGCCGACGUGCACAGCCGUUAGGGGCCGAGCGUGUCCAGACUUGGUGGGGCCGCACUGGAAGACCCUGAGCAGGGCCAGAAAGAAGCUCGCUGUCCACCGGAGGCUGGCCGUAGACGAGCAGGAGUGUGGCUCGCGCUAAGGCCGGUAACUUGUAAUCGUGGACGUGCUCGCCUGCGCCUCUCCACUAACCGUCCUGGACUGGGCAGCGCUGUGGAAGGCCGGCGGCAGGCGGGCAGGCACUAUGGACAUGGUGGGCAUGACCUGUUGACUCUGUACCUGGGGUCUCGGCGUUUAUUUCGCAGCUCUCUCCUGUUAGAAAGACGAAUUCCACUCAGAGGCAUGAAAGCAGGUGGGAAGGAACAUUCCUUCGAGAUCCUUAAUGAAUCAAUGACCCAACUGGUUGUCCAGGGCUAGUCAGGGAUGGUGAUAUUUUUGAAAAUAAUGACUGCUCUUGGUCACACGCCUACUGUGCGCCGCCACACGCCUACUGUGCGCCAUCUGACUGCUCACGUUUCUCCACGGCUCGUGAGAAGAGGCGCUGCUUGCCUUCGCUCCUGUCUGCCUUCCAGGGUAUUUGCACAUACGCUAACCUCACGGCCCAGCAGUCCUAUCCCAGGUUUGACCCAGGAGGCGUGGGAACAGGUGUUCAUACAAGAAACCUGCUCAGAAGCCAGAUUUGGUGCGCAUUACGACAUAGUUGGGCUCGCUGAAUGUGAGCUUCCUCUCCCGUGCUACAACUGCCCGUGUAGGUGGCGUCUAGCUUUCUUGGCAUCAUCCCGUGUGUCAGGGCUCAGGAGACUCGUGCGAAUGCCGGUGUUCUGGUACUGGUCGUGCUCUGAGUCAUAAACUGUCCUUUGCUCUCACUCAGGGGUCUCGGGUCUUUUGCUGGUAUCCACAACGAAGUUGAUGACCUCGGAGAAGCUGAACAUGUGAGAGUCUUCAGAGUUCUAGUGCUACACAUACAAGAUCAUAAUUACUAUAAUGCCCUUCUGAGGGAAGAAUUAUUUCUUCGAUUCAGAAACUGGGAUUUAAGGAGGCGAAAUGGGCAGAGGUGACCAUUUAUCAGUGGCAAGAGAAGGUAAUAAACUUAAGAGCUUUAUCUGUAGCCUUGGACUGUCUGUGUUAAGUCCUGACUCCAUCACCAAAUAGCGUCUGUAAGAGGGGACCUGGUUAGGACUGCUACAGGCUCACUUGUCUUGCCCUGAAGGCUCGAGCAUAAAUGUUCAUGAGGAGAUAAGACUUUAUACAUUUAAUAUGAGCUGAAUUAUCUAUUUAAAUGAAUAGGCAAAUUAUCAGGAUCUCUGUUGUCAUUUGUAGAUCUUCUCAUAGAAAGACUGCAACUACCUGAUUUUUUAAAACUUUGAGCUCUGAAGUUUUGCAAUCAAGUGUUUUAACUUUUUACAUUGUGCUUCCUUUCUUCUUUGUCUCCAAAAUUCAA